rnacentral:rRNA from 1 species
GAUGAACGCUGGCGGCGUGCUUAACACAUGCAAGUCGAACGGGGCACCCCUGAAGGAGUUUUCGGACAACUGAAGGGAAUGCUUAGUGGCGGACGGGUGAGUAACGCGUGAGUAACCUGCCUUGGAGUGGGGAAUAACAGUUGGAAACAGCUGCUAAUACCGCAUGAUGCAGUUGAGUCGCAUGGCUCUGACUGCCAAAGAUUUAUCGCUCUGAGAUGGACUCGCGUCUGAUUAGCUAGUUGGCGGGGUAACGGCCCACCAAGGCGACGAUCAGUAGCCGGACUGAGAGGUUGGCCGGCCACAUUGGGACUGAGACACGGCCCAGACUCCUACGGGAGGCAGCAGUGGGGAAUAUUGGGCAAUGGGCGCAAGCCUGACCCAGCAACGCCGCGUGAAGGAAGAAGGCUUUCGGGUUGUAAACUUCUUUUCUCAGGGACGAAGAAAGUGACGGUACCUGAGGAAUAAGCCACGGCUAACUACGUGCCAGCAGCCGCGGUAAUACGUAGGUGGCAAGCGUUAUCCGGAUUUACUGGGUGUAAAGGGCGUGUAGGCGGGAGUGCAAGUCAGAUGUGAAAACCACGGGCUCAACCUGUGGCCUGCAUUUGAAACUGUACUUCUUGAGUACUGGAGAGGCAGACGGAAUUCCUAGUGUAGCGGUGAAAUGCGUAGAUAUUAGGAGGAACACCAGUGGCGAAGGCGGUCUGCUGGACAGCAACUGACGCUGAGGCGCGAAAGCGUGGGGAGCAAACAGGAUUAGAUACCCUGGUAGUCCACGCUGUAAACGAUGGAUACUAGGUGUGGGGGGACUGACCCCCUCCGUGCCGCAGUUAACACAAUAAGUAUCCCACCUGGGGAGUACGAUCGCAAGGUUGAAACUCAAAGGAAUUGACGGGGGCCCGCACAAGCGGUGGAGUAUGUGGUUUAAUUCGAAGCAACGCGAAGAACCUUACCAGGGCUUGACAUCCCGAGGCCAGACCUAGAGAUAGGUCCUUCUCUUCGGAGACCUCGGUGACAGGUGGUGCAUGGUUGUCGUCAGCUCGUGUCGUGAGAUGUUGGGUUAAGUCCCGCAACGAGCGCAACCCUUAUUGUUAGUUGCUACGCAAGAGCACUCUAGCGAGACUGCCGUUGACAAAACGGAGGAAGGUGGGGACGACGUCAAAUCAUCAUGCCCCUUAUGUCCUGGGCCACACACGUACUACAAUGGUGGUCAACAGAGGGAAGCAAAACCGCGAGGUGGAGCAAAUCCCUAAAAGCCAUCCCAGUUCGGAUCGCAGGCUGCAACCCGCCUGCGUGAAGUUGGAAUCGCUAGUAAUCGCGGAUCAGCAUGCCGCGGUGAAUACGUUCCCGGGCCUUGUACACACCGCCCGUCACACCAUGAGAGUCGGGAACACCCGAAGUCCGUAGCCUAACCGCAAGGGGGGCGCGGCCGAAGGUGGGUUCGAUAAUUGGGGUGAAGUCGUAACAAGGUAGCCGUAUCGGAAGGUGCGGCUGGAUCACCUCCUUUCUAAGGAGAACUCAGUUACUGAGUAAGUAGCUGUAAGAUUCCUAGGUCAGACUUCUGAGCAGAGUGAAGAGUUACGUUGUUUAAUUUAGAGGGCGCACGCCAAAGGAAGCGGGAGGGAAAGUGGACGCUCAACGGGGGUUUAGCUCAGCUGGUAGAGCACCUGCUUUGCAAGCAGGGGGUCACCGGUUCGAGUCCGGUAACCUCCACCACAGGGGCCCAUAGCUCAGCUGGCUAGAGCGCACGACUGAUAAUCGUGAGGUCGGUGGUUCGAGUCCACUUGGGCCCACCACUUCUAUUCGAGAGUGGAUUGAAGUGUUUGGACAACAGUCUGAGCAUUUCAAUCUGACCUUGAAGAGGUUGGAGUUUGCACCUUGAAAACUGAACAGUGAAGCAAGCAAGAAAUUGCGAGCAAGCAACAGAGAGGUAACAAAGUUAAGAAAAUUGUGGACUUUUAAAAUAAGGGUAACACAAACUACAAUGUAACCAAAUCUGAGGCCUGCAUAAUUCUUGUGAGAACCAAAUAUCUCGAAAGAGAUGAUAGGUCAAGCUAAAAAGAGCGCAAGGGGAAUGCCUUGGCAUCAAGAGCCGAAGAAGGACGUGACAAGCUGCGAUAAGCCAUGGGGAGCCGCACAUAGGCGUUAUAUCCAUGGAUUUCCGAAUGGGGAAACCCGGCAGAGCAAUACUCUGUCAGCCUGCGUUGAAUAAAAUAGGCGUAGGUAGGGAACCGCCUGAACUGAAACAUCUAAGUAGGGCGAGGAAGAGAAAUCAACAGAGAUUCCGCUAGUAGUGGCGAGCGAACGCGGAAGAGGGCAAACCGGAGGAUUUAUCCUCCGGGGUUGUGGACUGACACAACGGGUCGAUAGGUUAGGCGAACGGUAUGGGAAGGCCGGCCAUAGCGGGUGAGAGCCCCGUAGCCGAAAGCUGAAUCGAUUUAGUCAGGAUCCAGAGUACCGCAGGACACGUGAAACCCUGUGGGAAACUGGGGGGACCACCCUCCAACCCUAAAUACUACUUGAUGACCGAUAGAGGAGC